rnacentral:lncRNA from 1 species
CUGCUUCUGGCGCCCCGCUGGACCCUGCUUCGAAGGGACCGUUUGGUCGCCAGAGGGCGGUUCCUGGAGUUACAGCCGCGUUUGCGGGACGUGUCUGCGCGGCAGUCCUGGCCUGUUGAGCUUGUCCAGACGAAGCCUCGCAGGGAUGGGUUGGAGCCUGGGCCGGGCUUCGCUCAGGCAGCGUUUGAGGCAGACCCAGCAGGGUCCUCCUGGGGCCUUCCUGCCUUUGAACUGCGGUGGCGGGCGGGCGCACGGUCUCCUGUACGCCCUAGACUAGGGGCCGCCAUCUCCAUGGCCACGGCCGUGAGCCGGCCCUGCGCCGGCAGGUCGCGGGACAUACUGUGGCGCAUUCUUUCAGUGACCUGUAUAGUUCCUAUGUAAUCUUUUACUUCCUGCUGCUGUCAGUGGUAAUAAUAAUAAUAAGUAUUUUCAAUGUGGAGUUCUAUGCAGUUGUGCCUUCUAUUCCUUGCUCCAGACUAGCUCUGAUAGGGAAGAUCAUUCAUCCUCAGCAACUCAUGCACUCAUUUAUUCAUGCUGCAAUGGGAAUGGUGAUGGCCUGGUGUGCUGCAGUGAUAACCCAGGGCCAGUACAGCUUUCUUGUGGUUCCCUGCACUGGUACUAACAGCUUUGGUAGCCCUGCUGCGCAAACCUGCUUAAAUGAAUAUCAUCUUUUUUUCCUACUGACUGGAGCAUUUAUGGGCUAUAGCUAUAGCCUCCUGUAUUUUGUUAACAACAUGAACUAUCUUCCAUUUCCCAUCAUACAGCAAUACAAGUUCUUGCGUUUUAGGAGAUCUCUGCUCUUAUUAGUUAAACACAGUUGUGUGGAAUCACUGUUCCUGGUUAGAAAUUUCUGCAUUUUAUAUUAUUUUCUUGGCUAUAUUCCCAAAGCUUGGAUUAGCACUGCUAUGAACCUUCACAUAGAUGAGCAGGUUCAUAGGCCACUUGACACAGUGAGUGGCCUCUUAAAUCUCUCGUUACUCUACCAUGUCUGGCUGUGUGGUGUCUUUCUCCUGACGACUUGGUAUGUCUCAUGGAUACUCUUCAAAAUCUAUGCCACAGAGGCUCAUGUGUUUCCUGUUCAACCACCAUUUGCAGAAGGGUCAGAUGAGUGCCUUCCAAAAGUGUUAAAUAGCAAUCCUCCCCCCAUCAUAAAGUAUUUAGCCUUGCAGGACCUGAUGUUGCUUUCUCAAUAUUCUCCUUCACGAAGACAAGAAGUUUUCAGCCUCAGCCAACCAGGUGGACAUCCCCACAAUUGGACAGCCAUUUCAAGGGAGUGUUUGAAUCUUUUAAAUGGUAUGACUCAGAAACUGAUUCUCUAUCAAGAAGCUGCUGCUACGAAUGGGAGAGUGUCUUCAUCUUACCCAGUGGAACCUAAGAAAUUAAAUUCUCCAGAAGAAACUGCUUUUCAGACACCAAAAUCUAGCCAGAUGCCUCGGCCUUCAGUGCCACCAUUAGUUAAAACAUCACUGUUUUCUUCAAAAUUAUCUACACCUGAUGUUGUGAGCCCAUUUGGGACCCCAUUUGGCUCUAGUGUAAUGAAUCGGAUGGCUGGAAUUUUUGAUGUAAACACCUGCUAUGGGUCACCGCAAAGUCCUCAGCUAAUAAGAAGGGGGCCAAGAUUGUGGACAUCAGCUUCUGAUCAGCAAAUGACUGAAUUUUCUAAUCCUUCUCCAUCUACCUCUAUUAGUGCUGAGGGUAAGACAAUGAGACAACCCAGUGUGAUUUAUUCAUGGAUUCAGAAUAAACGUGAACAGAUUAAGAAUUUCUUGUCAAAACGGGUGCUGAUAAUGUAUUUUUUCAGUAAGCACCCAGAGGCCUCCAUUCAGGCUGUUUUUUCAGAUGCCCAAAUGCAUAUUUGGGCAUUAGAAGGUCUGUCGCACUUAGUAGCAGCAUCAUUUACAGAGGAUAGAUUUGGAGUUGUCCAGACGACACUACCAGCUAUCCUUAAUACUUUGUUGACACUGCAAGAGGCAGUCGACAAGUACUUUAAGCUUCCUCAUGCUUCCAGUAAACCACCCCGGAUUUCAGGAAGCCUUGUGGACACUUCAUAUAAAACAUUAAGAUUUGCAUUCAGAGCAUCACUGAAAACUGCCAUCUAUCGAAUAACUACUACAUUUGGUGAACAUCUGAAUGCUGUGCAAGCAUCUGCAGAACAUCAGAAAAGACUUCAACAGUUCUUGGAGUUCAAAGAAUAGUUAAGUAAUAUAAACUGUGUUCAUUACACUGCUGAUACAACUACAGAUGGGACAGUAAAUGUUCAGCAUUCUUGGAUCAGAAGAAAACGGACUAAUUAGAUGCUUCCUUUGUCGUGGUGGUUGCUUUGAAAACUAUACUUUAAUGGGAGAAAUCAUGGAAAGAAAUUCUCAACAGAAUAACUGAAAACUGCCUUUUCUGUACCGAUUGCUUUUUGUGUGUGUGGUAUAAUAAAAUCUUUAUUCAAUUUUACAGAAGCAUUGAUGGCAGUCGAAAUGUCUCUAGCUCAUAUAACUUAAUAGUAAUAACUAAAAAACUUUUAGAAUUUACUUUUGAAAGGAGGGAAGCCAGUUCUGAAAUGAGUAUAGGUUGAUUUCAUAGUCUUCUUAAUUAAGAGUUUAGCUCUUUGUAAACUCAAAAUACAUAAACUUUUUAAGUGUAGUUUCAUUUACUGAAGGAUAAAAAUGGUAACAGUGCAGCAAUAUUCACAAAAAAUAUUGUCUAACGGACAUAUUUUGUUAAUCUGUUAGGUUGGGUUUUUGUUUCCAGGGACAAAUUAAAUUUGUAUGAUUACCCAAAAAAGGGUCUCAGUUUACAGAUGCUAACUCUAUAUAAAGGAAUGUGGAAAAACUCAGUUCUUAAGUUACAAGAUUAAAAAUUCACAUUUGGUCUUUAAGAAACAAUUGACUGACAUCUAUGAAUUUAUUUUGUAUCAUGCUAGUAAACACGAAGUAUUAAUGUAUGGGUAUUUUCCCAGCUAGUUUUGCUUUCUUUUUCUGGAGCAAAACAUUAAGUGAUUGCAGAGUUUUUCAAGCAAGAGAAAAAGGUUUGCAAAAAAACCCAGGAAAUGUUCCCUUUUUUCCCCACCAUUCAUCUUCAUUAGAUCAAAUUCUGUGAAACUUGUCUGGUCUCUCAAAGGGAGCAGCCUCUGUAGUGUUAAAUGGCUAAUUAAAAUAGGAAGAUCUUUAUAGCCAGAAACAACUUAGUCAUCAAAUAGCAAGUGAAACCAAAACGUCAGAGGGAUUACUGUACUUGGAAGUAUGUUGUGUGUCCCAAAUGUGAACGAAGUAUUGUUAGAAUUUAUUAGAUCAGCUUCUUUGGAGAUCAAAGAUUGGAAAUCCUAGUCAUAGAUAUUCACUGGACUGGCUUUGGACUGAAAUGCUCCUUUGUAAUUCUUUUCCUAUUGUCUUUUCCUUCUAGUGUCCCAAAAUAUUUUCUUUAAAGUCAGCACAGUACUGUAUAUGAAUCUUUAAUGUGGUAUCAUAUAUGUCUACUUUUGUCUGAUUCAUCGAUGUAUUAUAUCUUUAUAAUUGAAUAUUUUAGCUCCGGGUCCUGUUGCCCCUUCAAGCAGUACAUGCCAAAUUAUAAAUAGGUGCUACUGGCCUUGAGCAUAUCACUGUGGGACAGUUCCCCAAUUGUCAAGUGUUUAGAUAUGUAGACUAUUGCCAUUUGUUUUUUUGUUUUGGUUUUGCUUUGUGUCUGAAGCUGAAUUGAUUUCUUUUUUUUGAAUGUGAAAGUUGAAUUUCAAACGUAGUCAUUUCUUACAGAUGGCCAAGACAGAAAAUUGUGGCUAGGUUGACUGAGAACUGUUGUCUUCCAUGUAUUAACACAAUUAAGCUUUUUAUAUUCCACUCUCUGUGCUGACCCUGGCUGAGGCAUUUUGGGAGACAAGGACUCUGAAUCUUCUGCUUCCAUUAAAGAAGAACUGUGAUAUUCAACAUUGGAUUUCUGAGAAUAAAGAUAGGAUGAUUCCUUUGAACUUUGACUUACUUGUAUAAAAUGUCCAGCUAGGUUAGGUUUUUGCCAUUUCCUAUAUACUUUGGGUAAAGCUACAUUUGAUGAGCAAUGUGAAUGUUUCUGAGAAUGUUCAUUCCUGUUUUCUCUUAAGAGAAUGUGCUGUGUACUAAAUACAGGCCACAUAGUGUCUGCCUGUUGAAGAUCUGGAAACUGCCUCCCCAGAUCUGUAUUGUAUUUGGUAGGUAAGGGGGUCAGUUUCUUUUUCUCAUUGUGUGUUGAUAAUCUACACACCAUCUGUUGGAACCAGGGUGUUAUUAUGGGGAACUCCUCCUGUGUACUAGGAGGAGGACCUUAGGGAGACCAAGAGGAGAGAAGCAUUUCCUUUGAUGAAGUCACAUCCUGUCUAUGAGCCCACUAAUGCUGUAACAUUGGCCUGAAAGAGAGUGUUCUUUAAAAGCCUUUCUCGGCUGUUAGUAUAAAAACAUGAUGGUAUCAGCUCUUAGCAUGUUUGCUUGACCCUUAUGGAAGGUAUAAAUCCACAGAACUUCCUUCCCAGAGAACUGGGAAAUUGUCCUAGAAAUAAACCUUGUACAGUUGAGUGGACAUGGAUAAGCAACAAUUUGUUACUUUGCAGGAUUUGUUCCUUGGUAAUUGUUUGGUGUGUCAUCCUGUAAAUAUUCAUGAUAGUCUGUUUAUAUCCUUUUGUAUAUCGUUGAUACUGGAUUGGGUAGAAAAAUAAAUUGGCAAUUUAAAAAAAUGGAACAGUUAAUUGAA